rnacentral:rRNA from 1 species
UACGAAGGGGGCUAGCGUUGUUCGGAAUUACUGGGCGUAAAGCGUGCGCAGGCGGCUUCUCAAGUCAGGGGGUGAAAGCCCAGAGCUCAACUCUGGAAUUGCCUUUGAGACUGAGGGGCUUGAGUACGAGAGAGGUGAGUGGAAUUCCCAGUGUAGAGGUGAAAUUCGUAGAUAUCGGGAGGAACACCGGUGGCGAAGGCGGCGACCUGGGUUGACAUUGACGCUGGAGGCGACGGAAAGCGUCGGGGAGCAAACAGG